CCCAGGGGACGUGGAUAACCUCGGGAAACUGAGGAUAAACCGUGAUAGGCCAAGGUUUCUGGAAUGGACCAUGGCUGAAAUCUAUAUGGCCCCUGGAUUGGACUGCGGCCGAUCAGGCUGUUGGUGAGGUAAUGGCCCACCAAACCUGUAACCGGUACGGGCUUUGAGAGAAGGAGCCCGGAGAUGGGCACUGAGACAAGGGCCCAGGCCCUAUGGGGCGCAGCAGGCGCGAAACCUCUGCAAUAGGCGAAAGCCUGACAGGGUUACUCUGAGUGAUGCCCGCUAAGGGCAUCUUUUGGCACCUCUAAAAAUGGUGCAGAAUAAGGGGUGGGCAAGUCUGGUGUCAGCCGCCGCGGUAAUACCAGCACCCCGAGUGGUCGGGACGAUUAUUGGGCCUAAAGCAUCCGUAGCUUGUUCUGCAAGUCCUCCGUUAAAUCCACCUGCUCAACAGAUGGGCUGCGGAGGAUACUACAGGGCUAGGAGGCGGGAGAGGCAAGCGGUACUCAGUGGGUAGGGGUAAAAUCCUCUGAUCCACCGAAGACCACCAGUGGCGAAGGCGGCUUGCCAGAACGCGCUCGACGGUGAGGGAUGAAAGCUGGGGGAGCAAACCGGAUUAGAUACCCNGGGUAGUCCCAGCUGUAAACGAUGCAGACUCGGUGAUGGGUUGG
rnacentral:rRNA from 1 species